rnacentral:rRNA from 1 species
UACGAAGGGGGCUAGCGUUGCUCGGAAUCACUGGGCGUAAAGCGCACGUAGGCGGAUUGCUAAGUCAGGGGUGAAAUCCUGGAGCUCAACUCCAGAACUGCCUUUGAUACUGGCGAUCUCGAGUCCGGGAGAGGUGAGUGGAACUGCGAGUGUAGAGGUGAAAUUCGUAGAUAUUCGCAAGAACACCAGUGGCGAAGGCGGCUUUCUGGACCGUAACUGACGCUGAGACACGAAAGCGUGGGUAGCAAACAGG